rnacentral:rRNA from 1 species
CAGAGCCUUCUAAACUCAAGCCUAUACUUAACUUAUCAUUAGCUCUGAUAUUAAGCCCCAAGUCCAUCAACAUUCUGGCAUCUUUUUUGCUAUUGCUAGCACUUAUACCAUCUACCAAAAUUUCAUUGCGUUUUGCAAUAUCCCAUUGAUAGCCAAUGCCAGCCCAAGCGGUCGCUUUGCUCUGUCCAAUUUCAAAAGUUUUACCUGCAUUCACAC